rnacentral:rRNA from 1 species
CCUGGUUGAUCCUGCCAGUAGUCAUAUGCUUGUCUCAAAGAUUAAGCCAUGCAUGUCUAAGUACAACCGAUUUAAGGCGAAACCGCGAAUGGCUCAUUAAAUCAGCUAUGAUUCAUUGGAUCUGUACCCACACUUACUUGGAUAACUGUGGUAAUUCUAGAGCUAAUACAUGCCACCACGUCUCUGACCGCAAAGGGAAGAGCGCUUUUAUUAGUUCAAAACCGGUCGGGCCUCGGUCCGUCACCCCACCGUGUUUGAAUCUGAAUAACUUGUCGCUGAGGCACGGUCUCCGCACCGCGCCGCCUCUUUCAAGUGUCUGCCUUAUUCAAGCUUUCGAUUGUAGGUUAUGCGCCUACAAUGGCUAUAACGGGUAACGGGGAAUCAGGGUUCGAUUCCGGAGAGGAGAGCCUGAGAAACCGGCUACCACAUCUAAGGAAGGCAGCAGGCACGCAAAUUACCCACUCCCGGCACGGGAGGUAGUACGAAAAAUAACGAUGCGAGACUCAUCCGAGCCUCGGCAAUUCGGAAUGAGUACACUUUAAAUCCUUUAACGAGGAUCUAUUGGAGGGCAAGUCUGGUGCCAGCAGCCGCCGGUUAAUUCGCAGCUCCAAUAUGUGUAUUGUAAUUUAGCUCUGUAGUGUAGCUGAAUACAGGUCGCUAGUAUGUAUUUUCCGAGUGUAUCUACGCGACACUCGCACGCGCUUACACGCAGUUAGAUACCUCGUGUGUCACGGGCUACUGAACGCAGCACUCAGAGACGAGGCACGACGCUGGCGUCAGGUGAGGAUGGGGUUGCUCUUCAUCCGAGUUGCAGCACCGUGCCGGCAGAGUUGGUGUUACUUUUGACAAAAAAUUAGUAGUGCUCAAAGCAGGCUACACUUACGGCCUGAAUCGCCUAUGCAUAUGGAAUUAAUGGAAUAGGACAUCCGGUUCUCAAUGUUGUCGAGUUUUUCCUGAAACCGGCCGUGACGGCUAGUAUUACCGGUAUCUAUAUAGAAACAAGGCCGGGGGCAAUUCGGUAAUUGCGACGCUGAGGUGAAAUUUCCUGAGAUCCGUCGCAAGACGAGACUUACUGCGAAAGCAUAUUGCCAAAAGGAUAUGUUUUCAUUUAAUCAAAGAACGAAAGGUUAGAGGUUCGAUAGGCGAUCAGCUAUACCGCCUAGUUCAACAUAACGAAUGGUGACCAGCGAUCCAGCGGCGAUAUCCCAUGACCCGGCGGGGGCAGCUCCGGGAACCAUCUUUUGGGUUCCGGGAGGAGCAUAUGGUCAAAGGCUGGGAAACUAAGGAAAUUGACUGGAAGGAGCACGAGUGGUGCGUUUUGAGCCGGGGACCUCCGCCGCCGGACGACUCUGCAGAUGGGGUACUUCCGAUUGGUGUGAGUGUGCUAGGGUUCUUAGUGUGGGGAGAGUCGUUUAGUCUGGUUAUUCGAUAAGAACGAGACUCUGGCUACUAUUAGUCGAACGGAUCCUCCAGAAUUGGAUGUCCAGUUUCGAGACUUCUCUUAGGGGAUAAGCGCAACUUUGCCGCACGAGAUUGGAGCAAUUAACAGGUCUGUGAUGCCCUUAGAUGUUCUGGGCGCACGCGGCCUAACUGAAGGGAUCACGUGUCUCCCCUCGGGAGGAGCGGGUACCCGUUGAACAUCCUUUUCAUGAUAGGGAUUGGGGUUUUGCAAUGUCUCCCAUGAACGAGGAAUUCCCAGUAAGCGCACAGUCAUGAGCUUGCGAUCUGAUUAACGUCCUGCCCAUUGUACACACCGCAACAACGUCGCUUACUACCGACUUGGAGACAUUGAUUUCAAGUCGAGGGCCUUCCGGACUGGCGCUAUUCUUGGAUGCCGGGCCCACGCGGUAUUCCGCCGCCUGGCUUUCGGCGCCUCGAUGCUGACCGCGGAAAGGAAUGUUCCAAACCUUUGAUCAUUUAGAGGAAGUAAAAGCUUCCGUAAACAGGUUUCCGUAGGUGAACCUGCGGCAA